AUCUCCGACUAGCGCCACAAUCGGGCUUUGUGCCAAUUAGGAGACACUGUAGACGAUUGAUCAGAAUCGUCUAUUAUCAGAGCGUGCGUCUGGGGUUCCAGCGUGGCCUUUAUGCUUGGUGGCGAAAGCGGGACACGCGCCAGGCUCCCAGCGAAGACAUGGGACAAUGGCCCAACCCGAGGACGCAGGAGGCCGCCCGAUGCGGGGAUGGAAGCUCUAGGAGCGGUUUCAGGAGCCCGGAGGCGAGGAAGGCGGUGAGCUCUGGAGACAAAUAACAGAGGAAGGCGAGUCACUCACCGUGGUCUUGACCGGCACGUAAAGCACUUGCUUGGCGCAGCCGCCGCCCCCGCGGACCUCGUCCGGCUGGCCCAGCUGGAAGCCCUUCGAUUUGACCCAGAAUUUAAAUUUGGCGUUGUCCGUGGAGCUCGACUCGGAGCCGUUGAGGAGCUGGACGAUCCGCUCGUAUUUUUUACGGGUCACCGUCUUGGUCUUGCCUGAGUCCCCAGCUGGAAAUAGGGGAGUUCCCAUCCUCCUCGCGCUGCGAUUGCGGCCGCUCCUCUUUAUUCUACUCUCUGCGGAGGCCCUCGCCCGUCCCGGGAGGCGGCUCUGCCAGGAAGGCGGCCCGACCAGUGCCCCGCGCCUG